rnacentral:rRNA from 1 species
ACAUCGGAACGUGUCCUGUAGUGGGGGAUAGCCCGGCGAAAGCCGGAUUAAUACCGCAUACGCUCUACGGAGGAAAGGGGGGGAUCUUAGGACCUCUCGCUACAGGGGCGGCCGAUGGCAGAUUAGCUAGUUGGUGGGGUAAAGGCCUACCAAGGCGACGAUCUGUAGCUGGUCUGAGAGGACGACCAGCCACACUGGGACUGANACACGGCCCANACUCCUACGGGAGGCAGCAGUGGGGAAUUUUGGACAAUGGGCGCAAGCCUGAUCCAGCAAUGCCGCGUGUGUGAAGAAGGCCUUCGGGUUGUAAAGCACUUUUGUCCGGAAAGAAAACACGCCUGUUAAUACCGGGUGUGGAUGACGGUACCGGAAGAAUAAGCACCGGCUAACUACGUGCCAGCAGCCGCGGUAAUACGUAGGGUGCAAGCGUUAAUCGGAAUUACUGGGCGUAAAGCGUGCGCAGGCGGUUCGCUAAGACAGAUGUGAAAUCCCCGGGCUUAACCUGGGAACUGCAUUUGUGACUGGCGGGCUAGAGUAUGGCAGAGGGGGGUAGAAUUCCACGUGUAGCAGUGAAAUGCGUAGAGAUGUGGAGGAAUACCGAUGGCGAAGGCAGCCCCCUGGGCCAAUACUGACGCUCAUGCACGAAAGCGUGGGGAGCAAACAGGAUUAGAUACCCUGGUAGUCCACGCCCUAAACGAUGUCAACUAGUUGUCGGGUCUUCAUUGACUUGGUAACGUAGCUAACGCGUGAAGUUGACCGCCUGGGGAGUACGGUCGCAAGAUUAAAACUCAAAGGAAUUGACGGGGACCCGCACAAGCGGUGGAUGAUGUGGAUUAAUUCGAUGCAACGCGAAAAACCUUACCUACCCUUGACAUGUAUGGAACCCUGCUGAGAGGUGGGGGUGCCCGAAAGGGAGCCAUAACACAGGUGCUGCAUGGCUGUCGUCAGCUCGUGUCGUGAGAUGCUGGGUUAAGUCCCGCAACGAGCGCAACCCUUGUCCCUAGUUGCUACGCAAGAGCACUCUAGGGAGACUGCCGGUGACAAACCGGAGGAAGGUGGGGAUGACGUCAAG